rnacentral:tRNA from 1 species
GCCGGAGUAGCUCAGCUGGUAGAGCAACUGCCUUGUAAGCAGUAGGCCGUCGGUUCGAGUCCGACCUCCGGCU